CGUGAGGUCGGAGUUCAGUCUUCCCAGGCCCACCACUUUCAUCGAGUGAGCAUUCGUCUUCUGGUUACGGGGCCAUAGCUCAGCUGGGAGAGCGCGUGCUUUGCAAGCAUGAGGUCGUCGGUUCGAUCCCGUCUGGCUCCACCAGAUGGUUUGAUCACCGAGAUCUUGACCGUCGUCCGCGAAACAUCACUUCGCAUCCUGCUAGUCUGGAUAGACAGCAGUUUGCGUGUUUUCUGACAUCGUAAAGAGGAGAUCGAUCCGAGUUGGGUCGUGCAGCAUAUCGUUGCGCGAGCCUUCAUUAUCUCCGGAUCAUUUCGGCGCUCGCUUCCAGCCGUGAGGUUGGAUGCGGGUUGUAAAUGAUCCUUUUAGCGAAGCUUGACCGCCUCGCUAUCGGAACGAUCUUACGAAGCAAGCUGGUCUUUCUAGUCAAUGUCCGGCUGCGGAUAGCGUUCAUCGAGGGCGCGUGCCGCAAGGCAAUUCUGCAGACAACAUUCUGCCGAGUGUGUGGACAUUGAUAAUGAGAGCAAUCAAGUGCCUUAAGGGUGUUCGGUGGAUGCCUUGGCGCUGAGAGGCGAUGAAGGACGUGCUACGCUGCGAUAAGCCGUGGGGAGCUGCGAAGAAGCUUUGAUCCGCGGAUUUCCGAAUGGAAAAACCCCGGA
rnacentral:misc_RNA from 1 species